GCCAGACCUGACUGCUAUCGGAUUGAUACUAAGCCAUGCGAGUCAUUGUAGCAAUACAAGGCAUACGGCUCAGUAACGCGUAGUCAACCUAACCUAUGGACGGGAAUAACCUCGGGAAACUGAGAAUAAUGCCCGAUAGAACAUUAUGCCUGGAAUGGCUUAUGUUCCAAAUGAUUUAUCGCCGUAGGAUGGGACUGCGGCCUAUCAGUUUGUUGGUGAGGUAAUGGCCCACCAAGACUAUUACAGGUACGGGCUCUGAGAGGAGUAGCCCGGAGAUGGGUACUGAGACACGGACCCAGGCCCUAUGGGGCGCAGCAGGCGAGAAAACUUUGCAAUGUGCGAAAGCACGACAAGGUUAAUCCGAGUGAUUUGUGCGAAACAAAUCUUUUGUUAGUCCUAGAAACACUAACGAAUAAGGGGUGGGCAAGUUCUGGUGUCAGCCGCCGCGGUAAAACCAGCACCUCAAGUGGUCAGGAUGAUUAUUGGGCCUAAAGCAUCCGUAGCCGGCUCUGUAAGUUUUCGGUUAAAUCUGUACGCUCAACGUACAGGCUGCCGGGAAUACUGCAAAGCUAGGGAGUGGGAGAAGUAGACGGUACUCGGUAGGAAGUGGUAAAAUGCUUUGAUCUAUCGAUGACCACCUGUGGCGAAGGCGGUCUACUAGAACACGUCCGACGGUGAGGGAUGAAAGCUGGGGGAGCAAACCGGAUUAGAUACCCGGGUAGUCCCAGCUGUAAACUAUGCAAACUCAGUGAUGCAUUGGCUUGUGGCCAAUGCAGUGCUGCAGGGAAGCCGUUAAGUUUGCCGCCUGGGAAGUACGUACGCAAGUAUGAAACUUAAAGGAAUUGGCGGGGGAGCACCACAAGGGGUGAAGCCUGCGGUUCAAUUGGAGUCAACGCCGGA
rnacentral:rRNA from 1 species